GAAUCGCGAUAGGAAUUGCGAAUUGCAGAAUUCAGUGAAUCAUCGUAACUUUGAACGCAAACUGCGCUUGGGGGUUGACCCCGAGCAUGCCUCUCUGAGUGUCGGUCAAACCAUCCCUCGCGUUUUCCCAGGGGUUGUGAGAGUUCUGUCGAUCUCUUGAAGAACGAGUAGCGCCCGCAAGGGUGUGUGACUAGCGACUGGCGCUUCGUCAGCAGCGAGUGGAGAUGAAAGUUUUCACGAGCGACGUCGAGCCUGGCGCAAAGCAUACUUGCUCUACAGUGUCUUGAUGUCUAGGCAUCGCAGACACAGCUGUUCUGACCAUCGACCUCAGAUGAGGUAGGAUUACCCGCUGAACUUAA
rnacentral:misc_RNA from 1 species